CAGCCGCCACGGUAAUACGUAGGUGGCAAGCGUUGUCCGGAAUUAUUGGGCGUAAAGGACUCGCAGGCGGUUUCUUAAGUCUGAUGUGAAAGCCCCCGGCUCAACCGGGGAGGGUCAUUGGAAACUGGGAAACUUGAGUGCAGAAGAGGAGAGUGGAAUUCUACGUGUAGCGGUGUAAUGCGUAGAGAUGUGGAGGAACACCAGUGGCGAAGGCGACUCUCUGGUCUGUAACUGACGCUGAGGAGCGAAAGCGUGGGGAGCGAACAGGAUUAGAUACCCCCGUAGUCCCUGUCUCUUAUAC
rnacentral:rRNA from 1 species